CUCUCUCCUCUCUCUCUCUCUUCUAUAUAUUAUAUAGUAUAUUAUAUUUAUAUAUAUAUAUAAUAUAUAUACUAUAUAGAGACUUAUAUAAUGUCUAGAUUAUCUCUAUGCCUGUAUAUGUUUUCUGUAUAAAAUGGAAAUAUAUUGCUUUGUAACAUACUUUUCUUUUAUCACAAUUUUUGGGAGCUCAUGGUACAGUGCUUACCUACAUUUGUAAAGCUGUGUGUCUGGAAUCUCUGGUCUUGGUAAGUGGAGGUAGGAGGAUCAAAGAACAAGGUGAUCUUUUGCUCUGAAGAAAUGGAGGCCAUCGUGACAUAACUUAAGACACUGUCUGAAAGGAAAAAAUGAAAUAAAAUUAAACUUUCUUGAUCCCUUUGCUCAUGACUGCUCCCUCUCUACAACUGGAUUCCAGGAACUUGGCUCAGUGCUUACCUGUGCUGGUACAGCCUUGCAAACAUGGUGAAUAUUCUUAAGAGCUGCCAGACUUUCUACAAACAUUUUAAACACCAGCCCGACAAAGUGACACAGCACAACAAGAAUUGAUUAGAAUCCUCGGUCUGUUGAGGAGCAGCAACAAUGCCAGUAGCUGAGUGGGGGUCCUCAUAUCUGUGCUGUUACCUGUGUGAGGCUGACUCCAGCACAAGGGCCAGGAAUGCUUCUGGUGGAAGACAGUAUUUGUAUGUGCUGUACUUGCUCCAUACCUGGGGAAUCUACACAGAAGCCAAACAUUUGUUUUAUUUUCUGGCAAGUAAGCUUCAAUCACAAUACGUCUGUUUUAUGAUUAAAUUGACACAGUGUCUGGGCACUUUCAGCAGGCUACCCCUACUUUCACCUGUUUCAUGAAGUUGCAUUCUUGGAACAAUCUACAAUAAUUAUUGGAUG
rnacentral:lncRNA from 1 species